AUCGAAUGCCAUUUUAGUUGCGUCUACUUCGUAUCCCUGGAAUUCAGAACUCUGGUAUAAUAGGUAGAAGUGACAACCUUUCUAUCCCGGGAUGAGUUCUGCUUCUCUCAUUUCACUUUUAUGAUAAAACUCCACACAUUUGGAUUGAGAGGGAAGGCAAGAAGCAGUUAAAAUUUUUGACAGUUUGGAUGGCAGACUAUACUAAAAGGAAGCAUAGACCCUAGCAGCCUGUAGGAAAAUAAUUCAUCUGGCCUGACUGUGUUCGUUACCACAUAGCCGGCACGGUUGUCUCAUGCCAGCACCAAGACCAUAUGAAGCUAAAUCAACAGACCCUGAUUUGUUGGCUCAACCAAGUAUAAACUAGCCACUGGAAAAUCGAGUUGAAAACAUAGGACAAAUAUAUGAAAGAGACAAGCCACAGCUUGCAGGAGAGAAGAUGUUUGCAGAAAACUCCAGCAUUACAGGUUUAUCUAAGGUGUGGUCUCAGAAAGUGUGGCAUCAAGAAGCAGUUGUCCAAUCAAUCCACAAGACACAUCUAAAUUAUUGAUUAAUUAUAGCAUCUGAAUUUAGAAAAG